rnacentral:ncRNA from 1 species
UGCUCGACAUGCACUACUGACUUCCGGACGCAGGGAAAGACCGGUGAGAAUCCGGCGCUGACCCGCAACGGUGUGCUGCUACCACAAGUGGCGGCGAGCCCGAUCGCCUGCCCGGAGGCCUGACUCCAC